rnacentral:rRNA from 1 species
AUGAGGCCUUUUGGCGAAGCCAAGUCAAUUUCGGGCCACCAAACCUUGCAACUAAGGAAAAGGCCCUAUGGAGUAAAGGGAAGCGUGUACGUUGUCACACUCCCUGCCCUCCAAAGGUGCCUAGAGGACGGGCCAGACGCAGCAGAGCGACACCCCAGGAGCGGAUUCCCCACGAGCAGGGGGACAGGAGACGGCCAUCUCUAGGCACAUCACGACCUACAGGCAACACCGGCGAGACCCAGGAAGGUAACCCGAUUGGGAGUCGGAUCCAUAGUACCCGCAGCCUCCCGGACUUCAUAUUCAUCAUUUUCUAAAGAAAGGGUAAGGGAUCUCUUUUCUGCAACGGAAAAAAAUAAGCUCCGCUGA